CCUACGGGAGGCUGCAGUGGGGAAUAUUGCACAAUGGGGGAAACCCUGAUGCAGCGACGCCGCGUGAGCGAUGAAGUAUUUCGGUAUGUAAAGCUCUAUCAGCAGGGAAGAAAAUGACGGUACCUGACUAAGAAGCCCUGGCUAACUACGUGCCAGCAGCCGCGGUAAUACGUAGGGGGCAAGCGUUAUCCGGAUUUACUGGGUGUAAAGGGAGCGUAGACGGCGGUGCAAGCCAGAUGUGAAAGCCCGGGGCUCAACCCCGGGACUGCAUUUGGAACUGUAUAGCUGGAGUGUAGGAGAGGCAGGCGGAAUUCCUGGUGUAGCGGUGAAAUGCGUAGAUAUUAGGAGGAACACCAGUGGCGAAGGCGGCCUGCUGGACGAUGACUGACGUUGAGGCUCGAAAGCGUGGGGAGCAAACAGGAUUAGAUACCCCUGUAGUC
rnacentral:rRNA from 1 species